rnacentral:rRNA from 1 species
GUCGAACGAGAGAGAGGGAGCUUGCUUCCUUGAUCGAGUGGCGAACGGCCGAGUAACGCGUGAGGAACCUGCCUCAAAGAGGGGGACAACAGUUGGAAACGACUGCUAAUACCGCAUAAGCCCACGGUGCCGCAUGGCACAGAGGAAAAAGGAGCAAUCCGCUUUGAGAUGGCCUCGCGUCCGAUUAGCUAGUUGGUGAGGUAACGGCCCACCAAGGCGACGAUCGGUAGCCGGACUGAGAGGUUGAACGGCCACAUUGGGACUGAGACACGGCCCAGACUCCUACGGGAGGCAGCAGUGGGGAAUAUUGCACAAUGGGGGAAACCCUGAUGCAGCGACGCCGCGUGGAGGAAGAAGGUCUUCGGAUUGUAAACUCCUGUUGUUGAGGAAGAUAAUGACGGUACUCAACAAGGAAGUGACGGCUAACUACGUGCCAGCAGCCGCGGUAAAACGUAGGUCACAAGCGUUGUCCGGAAUUACUGGGUGUAAAGGGAGCGCAGGCGGGCGAUCAAGUUGGAAGUGAAAUCCAUGGGCUCAACCCAUGAACUGCUUUCAAAACUGGUCGUCUUGAGUAGUGCAGAGGUAGGCGGAAUUCCCGGUGUAGCGGUGGAAUGCGUAGAUAUCGGGAGGAACACCAGUGGCGAAGGCGGCCUACUGGGCACCAACUGACGCUGAGGCUCGAAAGUGUGGGUAGCAAACAGGAUUAGAUACCCUGGUGGUCCACACCGUAAACGAUGAUUACUAGGUGUUGGGAGAUUGACCCUCUCAGCGCCGCAGUUAACACAAUAAGU